CUUCUGUACUGCUGUUCACGGGACAUAGAAAUACAAUGUCAGCAAGGCCACGGCAGGAUGCACUCCCUUGGCGAAGCAAUCUUGAUGCUGUUUCACGGUCCACUCUGCAAUGACGAGAAGACAUAUCCAAACCAGAGACGUAGAAGUGACGGCCAAGAAUUGCAUGGAAUGGCGCAGGAUGGUCCACAAGAGACGUUGCCUUGAUGCAGACCGCUUGACACAACGAUGAAGAGACCUUAUCAAGUAUCAAGUAAGUCAGUAUGAUUAUC